AGCACUUCCGCAUCUGUGGUCCCCAUUACGCAUCUGCGGGGCCGCAUCUGCGCAAAAUCCUCGGCUUCUGCGGAAUUUCAUUAAAAGGCAUUUCCGCUUCUGCGGUUGCCUGACCGCACCUGCAGUCAUCGCAGAUGCGGGGACCAAACUGCACUUGUGAUCCCUACUGCGCACCUGCGUUACAUAACCGCUUAUGCUGACCUCGCACCUGCGGUCCCCAAUCCGCAGGUGCAGAAAUAAUAAGAAUAGCAAAAUAUGCAGCACAACUCAAAUUCCAAACUUUCCGAUAACCAUCCAAAAUCAUCCCGAGGCCCCCAGGACCUCAUCCAAAAAUACGAACAAGUCACAUAACAUCAUUCAAACUUAGUCGAGCCUUUGAAUCACUCAAGACAACAACAAAACACCGAAUAAACCUGGGAUUCAAGCCUAAGAACUUAUAAACUUUCAAAUUCCACAAACGACGCCGAAACCUAUCAAAUCACCUCCGAAGGACCUGAAAUUUUGCACACACGUCCCAAAUGACACAACGGACCUACUCAAAUUUUUAGAAUUCCAUUCCGACCUCUAUAUCAAUAUUUCCACUGCCGACCGGAAAAUGCCAAAUUUCCAAUUUCGCCAAUUCACACCUAAAUCAACUACGGACCUCCAAACUACAUUCCGAUCACGCUCCUAAGACCAAAUCACCUAACGGAGAUAUCCGAGCCAUCAGAAUUCACAUCCGAGACCUCCUACCCAUAAGUCAAUAUCCAGUUGACUUUUCCAACUUAAGCUUACUCAAAAGAGACUAAGUAUCUCAUACCUCUACAAAACCUCUCCGAACCCGAACCAACCAACCCGAUAACACAUAAUACAGCUAAAGAAGACAUAAACAAGCAAAAAUGGGAAAAACGGGGUCGAAAUUAAAACGACCGGCCGAGUCGUUACAUUCUCCCUCUAUUAAACUUAUGUUCACCCACGAACGUGCCCAGAGUUGUUCAAAAAAUCAUCAAAUCGCUGUGUAACAUUACCAUGCACAUACCCGGGGGUGAUCCCACGUCACCCUAUCUCAUAUAGGCCUGAUAACACAACAAAAUGAAAUUUCACAAUCCAACCUAGCCCAUAAACUUUAGAACCAAAUUUUCACUUCCGAAAUUAUCUAUAAGAUCAUAAUCUCACAUCUACACACCGAAUAAAUCUGAACACACUGUAUCAAGCCAUAACCACAAUUCAAGAUGGAAAUCACAGGAUAUACCAUACCACUCGAACACUCAUAGCGAAAACUUUAAAUCACAACAACUGCUCAAACAACUGAAUACCGAUAAUAAACCUCUUAUCAAAUAAAGCCUCAUUCCAACACUUUCAUACCGCCAAUGAUGAAUGAAACGCGCAGAAAGUCAUAACCAUCCCUUAGAUAAACCAGUCAUGGAGCUCCCUCUCCUUCGGCAAGGACCAUAGUAAAUUUCUAAGCCGAAACCUGAUAUUAUCCUUCCAACAUGCUGAAAUCGAAUCCGAUAGUAUUCUUUCUAGUCCAAAAUGACCUCAAUCUCUUCCAACACGACUACCCAAUUGACAUGACAUAUCACUACCAUCUAAAGCCACAACCCAUGCACCAAAAAGCAACAACCCAAAUGUACUCAAAUCAUGAAAAAAUGACUCAAAUGAGAGAACUGUACCGCAAGCUCACCAGUACCACCACAACACAAUGCUGAGAGCCCAUCCCACAUCAUAGAACCAGAACAUACGAAUCUAAUCCGAAGGAUCAUACCUCCACAUAACUUCACUCCAAUGCGCGACCCCAUCAAAACACUAGUCCACAUGAAACACCUCAAGCCACUAUGCUCAAAAUCAACAACCACGCGCAAUUUGUUGUCUAGAACCAAAAGCUAAUCAUUAUAACCACGACAAAGCAAAUGACAUGACACCACACAAACCCGAAAGGACACAACCGAUACGCCAUCCACCGAGCAAUACCCAAUACUCUUCCCACUCGAAUUUCACUAUAAGAUCCUAAUAGAACCGCACCAUAUGUGCCUAUAACCAAAAAUCAUAAUGCCUCGCAACAUGGAAGAUAACUCAUAGACCACCCCAGAACAUUGAUAAGAUCAAUAACAAUCGAAUCAACACAUCCGUCAACAAUAGCAACUUGGAGUCAACAAAGCCGACUCGAUGCAGAACACACAUCCAUAUUGACUCGAUGCAGAACACACAUCCAUAUUGGCCUACCAAUGAACCCCUUAUCAAGGAGUUCCUGAAGCUGCUCCUUCAAUUCCUUUAACCCGCCGGUGCCAUACGAUAUGGUUCCCGGCACCAAAUUAAUACCGAAAUCAACAAUCCUAUCCGGCGGCAUGCCCGACAGCAGGAAACAUAUCCAGAAAAUCCCUCACUACCGAAACUAAAUCAAUAGUAGGAGUUCCUACACUGACAUCCCUCACGAAAGCCAAAUAAGGAAGGAACCCCUUCCCAACCAUCCGUUGAGUCUUCAAAAUGAAAUCACUCUACUGGGAACAUAAUCUAUCGAACCUCGCCACUCAAUCCGUGGCAUCCCCGGCAUAGACAAUAUCAUCGACUUAGCGGUACAGUCCAGAAUAGCACGACACGGAGACCACCAGUCCAUACCCAAUAUCACAUCAAAAUCGAACAUACUAAGCAACAAAUGAUCCACCCAGGUCUCUAAACCCCCAAUAGUCACAACACAAGGCCGGUACACGCGACCCACAACCACAACAUAACUUGUUUAUGAGAACUCCCGAUCUCUAGACCCAUAUAGCACACAGAUCACCAUAUCUGAUCCCGACUCCACCAUCUGAAUCUAUAAAUCACCUCUCAUACCCAACAUUCCACGAGGGAUACUUUUAUAAUUCUUCUAUGCCACCAAACAACCUCAAAUAUCAACAGUCGAUCAAAUAGGAGAGUGAUGUAAUACUAAUGAAGUAUCCUUAACUCAAACACAUUGCCCUUUCUGAAAUGUAUACCCUUAUCAAGCCGCACCAAUUAGUGAUAUCAUUUACCUAGUCAUCUGAAACUACCCAUACUGCACAAGAACUUAUGUUCUCCCUUCCAGAACUGAACUAUGACCUCACACAUGCAAAUCUCAACCCUACACAACAUACCGCACAUACCAUGCCAUCCUAUGACAAAUAUGAGAACUUCAUAAUCCAUUCCGAGCCACAAGCAACUACGUACUUCACUAGCCAAGAACUUUCCCAUUCGAUCCAAUCUAAAAGAAAAUUGCUAUACAUCACAUGCUCCUCAUGCCAGUAGAAAUUAUACAUCUCUAACCAUGGUAGAAACCAUCAUGAUCUCUCUGAAUUCCAUUUGCACAAAACCAAACCGUCAGGACUGAAUCCUUCUAACUCAACCAAGCUACACGAGUCACCAAAAACCCAAGAACAUUGCCACGAAACACUUGUAGAAACUCAUUACCUCAUAAGCACCCACAGAACUAAUCAUAUCCCUUACCAUGCUGAUCCGGCCUACUACCAAGUUGUCAUAUUUAUCCAAGUUACUUCUAAAUUUCCUUCAAAUUGAUAUUUCCCAUUGCCAUAAUACCACAAUUCUCAACCCAAACUCGUCACACAAGGCUCAAGCAUGAAAUCGCACAACCUAAGGCUUAUAAGCGGCUGGAUACUCUCUUAAAUAUUCCCCAAAGUAUCACAUUCAAAAUACUUACCUUGAAGAGACUUCCUGCGAAUCUAAAGCCAUUACCUUCACCUUCCUGAUACUACCUUCACCUUCCUGAUACUGAUGUAUAGAAUCUAUAAUGAUAUAGAAAUGCCAUAAGUCUUGUCACCCCCCAAUGUAAACCUUAGUUUCUGGCCAAAUACCCCUCCUUGAAGGCCUCCAUUUAUUACAUAUAAGUCUUGAAUCCAUUAAAACCAUCCUCGGGAGUCAUCCACUCUACUCAGGUUUCAAUUUAACUGAUCAACCGAACCGAACGACUUGUGCUCACUAAAACAACAACACCUAUAGAAGUAACCCCACCUUAAUGCAACCAAAUAAAUUCCUGCUCUAUGCACCGUACAUCCUUCACCAAUAACAACUCAAGUCAUUCCAUGAUUCUCAUUCACCCCUAAAGCAUGACAUAACCUUUAUUAAAAUUUCCUUUACUCGAGCAAUCCUCGAUCUCAACCCCUGCAAGCCACAACUGAUUCACUAGUAUACCUCAAACUGAAACCAAUACAAUACAUAACCGUGCAAUCAACUAAUCAAUAGCGGACUCCCCCACUUGGCUCAAAGCCAUAGGUCACAACAUACAGAACUCACAAUGCCCAUACUCUACUACUGCCAUAAUACCACGGUGAUGUUAAACUAAAUCCUUCAUAAGUUCAUGCAACACAAACCAUCUAGUACUUCAAAUCAUCUGCAAGUCUCACAUUCAUCCUCGUAACAGUCAAGACAACUCUCAUACGCGAUCCAAACUCAAACUGCAGCACAUAUAAGUCAUUGGCAAAAGAGGACUUUCAACAAACAACAUAGGGAUCACACAACUUCAAAACACUCUGUAGGAGAUAACCUACCUGUUCCGCCUCAAACUAACUUCUCUUUAUACCAUUCCACUGUCAUAAACAUCACGCAAUCACCAAAUCUUCCCGAGUCUGAACUCAUAUCGUAACAUGAAAUCUAUUCCAUUCCCCAAUUAAACCACAUGAAAAUAUCCUUUACACACCCGUAACUCGGGGCUAUACAUCAAAUAGCGAUAGAAAUCAAGCACCAAAUAGUUCUUUCUACCCUCAAGUAGACCCUUCUCGUCAUAGUCAAAUCAUAUGAACCCAUCUCGUAGUCACAUCAUACUCAUCACAUAGCCAUCCAGCCAUCACUUUCACUAAUAGGGAUACUACCAAACAUAUGAAUCUAGAAGCACGUGCCCACAUAAUCAACGCCUCAGCGCUCAAACUAUAGGCAAAACCCGGCUUCAAGUCCUCCAGACUGGCCCCAACAUCAACACACAGAAAUCACAUCUCGCCCUUCGAUCAGGGGAUCACAAGCCGUCGAUGCACAACUGAUACCGAACGCUCAUGCACGCAUAUGAAUGCGUGGAAGGAAUUCAAAGAGUUAAGCUUCAAGCUGAAUCAAUGACGCACGAUAGGAAUUCAAGAAUGUGAAAUUUAUUUCCUAAAGGUUCUGCAACCUCUCAAAAAUAAGUACAGAUGUCUCCAUACCGAUCUGCGAGACUCUACUAAACCCGCUCAUGACUCGUAAGACCUUUGUAACGUAGGCUCUGAUACCAACUUGUCACGACCCAAAACCUGACCCGUCGUAAUGGUGCCUAUUAUGAAACUAGGCCAGCCUCAACUCAACAAUCAACACAAUAAUAAUAAGUUUGAAAACAUUUACAGAAGCUUUUAACAACUAACGAACUAUUUGAAACAUAAGAAAUUUCCAAGAACAGAUACAAUCCAGCCCAAAAUUGGGGUGUCACUGAGUGCAUGAGUGUCUAAGAAAAAUACAUAGUCUAAUAUAAUGUCUAAGGGAACCACUGAAAUACAACUGGAAAGUAAGGUGGAGAGCUAAGGCCUGCGAACGCGUGCAGAUACCUCAAUAAUCUCCUAAGUCAGAAGCCUCGAUCAACCACUGCCACUGGAUCCAAAGUGCUUGAAUCUACACACGAGGUGCACUAACUCACUAAGUAAUGAGUCCAACCUUUGGACUGAUAGGUAGUGACGAAUUCAACCUCCUCAAGGAUAACAGAAAUAAUAUACAGAAACGUAGACAUGCUUUCAGUUAAUUAAACAGCUCGAACAGUAAAACAGAGCAAGUAUGAACGAGGUAAAAAAGUGUAACUUUGUUACAUCUAUAUGUCAAUGCACAUGCUGCGUGGAAUGCACCAUGUUGAGUACCUCAUGUGCCCACAAUCUCAAAUGCUCAUCCACUCAGUACUAUAUAUGGCUCGUACAGCCCCGGGAAGAUCCAUCUCGGAACAUAUACAUCUAUGACAACAGUCACUCAGUACCGAGGAAGGCCAUUCUAGCCUAUGGAGAAGAUCCAUCUCCAGAUAAUAACAAUAACAAUCUCACAACCACUCGGUACUGUAUAUGGCUCACAAGGCCCAAGGAAGAUCCAUCCCGGAAUAUAUAUAUACACAUUACUGACAACAGUCAUCUAGUUCCGAGGAAGGCCAUUCCGACCUAUGGAGAAGAUCCAUCUCUAGAUAAUAAGUGCUUCGGACAAGAUCUAUGUCCAGGGAAAAUCCAUCCUUUAAUAAUAUCAUCUGCACUCACUGGGGGUGUAAAGACUCCGGAGGGGCUUCUCUUAGACCAAGCGCUAUAACAAGCCAACGAAGACAUGUUCAAUAUCUCGCUGUGGUGUGUAGCCCGAUCCCAUGCUGUCACUCAAUAUCAGGCUCUCGGCCUCACUUAGUCAUCACUCUCCAGUCUCACACACAUGGGCUCAAAGUGCCACGAUACUAGCCCGAAACAAUAAUAUGAUAUGCCAAUAACAAUAACCGAGACUGAGACAUGAUAUAAUAUGCAUGAACAGGACUGAGUACAAAAUAUCAAUGAAGCUAAUGAUAUGACAGCAAGAAACAACCUCUCGGGUCUCAACAGUAUCGGCGUGAAGCCUUAACAUGAUAAUUAACAUGAUUUACAGCUCAUUAACUUAAUCACAUAGUUACAACACAGAUAUCAGCAAGAAAGAGUCACUAAGAGAUUCCAUGGAAUGAUCCAGGCCGUGAUUCUCACGGUGCAUGCCCACACACCCAUCACUUGGCAUUUGUGUCACCUCAAUAGUAAUCAUAAAACACAUAGUUCGGGGCUUCGAAUCCUCAGAACCAAGUUUGGAAGCGUUACUUACCUCAAGCCAAGCCAAACUCUAGCCCGCGAUACCCUUGCCUUUCGAUUCGGCCUCCAAAUGCUCCUACUCUAAUCAAAAUCAGUAUAUUAUCAUCAAUAUACGCUAAAGGAAUGAAACCCAUAGGAAAAUUAUCAAAUUAGAUUAAAAAUCCCGAAUUUGCUCAAACCUGCCCCCUCGGGCCCAUGCCUCGGAUUCUGAUAAAAAUCACAUCACUAAAAUCCUUAUCCUACCACGAGUCUAUACAUACCAAGAACAUCAAAAUCGAACCUCAAAUGACCCCUCAAAUCACCACUCAAAGCUCUCGAAAACUCAAGCCCUAACCCUCCAUUUUUAGGCUUUAAAUCCCACUAAUUUCAUGAUUAAACAAUGAAAAUAUCAUCAUAAACACAAAUAAUAAAGCCCAAGUAACUUACCCCAUUGAAAAUCCUUGAUUCCUCUUGAAAAUCACUGCUCAAAGCUCAAAUAUCGGCCAAAAAUGGUGAAGAAUGACCAAAAAUUCGCGAAAGAGCCUUUAUAUACACUCUGCCCAGCACUUCCGCAUAUGCGGUCCCCAUUAUGCAUCUGCGGGGCCGCAUCUGCGCAAAAUCCUCCGCUUCUGCGGAAUUUCAUUAAAAGGCAUUUCCGCUUCUGCGGUUGCCUGACCGCACCUGCAGUCAUCGCAGAUGCGGGGACCAAACUGCACUUGUGAUCCCUACUGCGCACCUGCGUUACAUAACCGUUUAUGCUGACCUCGCACCUGCGGUCCCCAAUAUGCAGGUGCGGAAAUAAUAAGAAUAGCAAAAUAUGCAGCACAACUCAAAUUCCAAACUUUCCGAUAACCAUCCAAAAUCAUCCCGAGGCCCCCAAGACCUCAUCCAAAAAUACGAACAAGUCACAUAACAUCAUUCAAACUUAGUCGAGCCUUUGAAUCACUCAAGACAACAACAAAACACCGAAUAAACCUCGGAUUCAAGCCUAAGAACUUAUAAACUUUCAAAUUCCACAAACGACGCCGAAACCUAUCAAAUCACCUCCGAAGGACCUAAAAUUUUGCACGCACGUCCCAAAUGACACAACGGACCAACUCAGAUUUUCGGAAUUCCAUUCCGACCUCUAUAUCAAGAUUUCCACUACCGACCGAAAAAUGCCAAAUUUUCAAUUUCGCCAAUUAACACCUAAAUCAAUCACGUACCUCGAAACCACAUUCCGAACACGCUCCUAAGACUAAAACCACCUAACGGAGCUAUCAGAACUAUCAGAAUUCACAUCUGAGACCUCCUACCCAUAAUUCAACAUUCGGUUGACUUUUCCAACUUAAGCUUACUCAAAAGUGACUAAAUGCCUCAUACCUCUCCAAAACCUCUCCGAA
rnacentral:lncRNA from 1 species